GACGAACGCUGGCGGCGUGCUUAACACAUGCAAGUCGAACGGAAAGGCCCUGCUUUUGUGGGGUGCUCGAGUGGCGAACGGGUGAGUAACACGUGAGUAACCUGCCCUUGACUUUGGGAUAACUUCAGGAAACUGGGGCUAAUACUGGAUAGGAGCUCCUGCUGCAUGGUGGGGGUUGGAAAGUUUCGGCGGUUGGGGAUGGACUCGCGGCUUAUCAGCUUGUUGGUGGGGUAGUGGCUUACCAAGGCUUUGACGGGUAGCCGGCCUGAGAGGGUGACCGGCCACAUUGGGACUGAGGUACGGCCCAGACUCCUACGGGAGGCAGCAGUGGGGAAUUUUGCACAAUGGGCGGAAGCCUGAUGCCGCAACGCCGCGUGCGGGAUGACGGCCUUCGGGUUGUAAACCGCUUUCGCCUGUGACGAAGCGUGAGUGACGGUAAUGGGUAAAGAAGCACCGGCUAACUACGUG
rnacentral:rRNA from 1 species